rnacentral:rRNA from 1 species
GGAUGAACGCUAGCGACAGGCUUAACACAUGCAAGUCGAGGGGCAGCAUGAUUUGUAGCAAUACAGAUUGAUGGCGACCGGCGCACGGGUGAGUAACGCGUAUGCAACUUACCUAUCAGAGGGGGAUAGCCCGGCGAAAGUCGGAUUAAUACCCCAUAAAACAGGGGUCCCGCAUGGGAAUAUUUGUUAAAGAUUCAUCGCUGAUAGAUAGGCAUGCGUUCCAUUAGGCAGUUGGCGGGGUAACGGCCCACCAAACCGACGAUGGAUAGGGGUUCUGAGAGGAAGGUCCCCCACAUUGGUACUGAGACACGGACCAAACUCCUACGGGAGGCAGCAGUGAGGAAUAUUGGUCAAUGGCCGAGAGGCUGAACCAGCCAAGUCGCGUGAAGGAAGAAGGAUCUAUGGUUUGUAAACUUCUUUUAUAGGGGAAUAAAGUGGAGGACGUGUCCUUUUUUGUAUGUACCCUAUGAAUAAGCAUCGGCUAACUCCGUGCCAGCAGCCGCGGUAAUACGGAGGAUGCGAGCGUUAUCCGGAUUUAUUGGGUUUAAAGGGAGCGCAGACGGGGGAUUAAGUCAGUUGUGAAAGUUUGCGGCUCAACCGUAAAAUUGCAGUUGAUACUGGUUCCCUUGAGUGCAGUUGAGGCAGGCGGAAUUCGUGGUGUAGCGGUGAAAUGCAUAGAUAUCACGAAGAACCCCGAUUGCGAAGGCAGCCUGCUAAGCUGUAACUGACGUUGAGGCUCGAAAGUGUGGGUAUCAAACAGGAUUAGAUACCCUGGUAGUCCACACGGUAAACGAUGAAUACUCGCUGUUUGCGAUAUACGGCAAGCGGCCAAGCGAAAGCGUUAAGUAUUCCACCUGGGGAGUACGCCGGCAACGGUGAAAC